CCCUUAGAUGUCCUGGGCCGCACGCGCGCUACACUGAUGCAUGCAACGAGUUUAUAACCUUGGCCUGAAAGGUCUGGGUAAUCUUUUGAACGUGCAUCGUGAUAGGGAUAGAUUAUUGCAAUUGUUAAUCUUGAACGAGGAAUUCCCAGUAAGCGCGAGUCAUAAGCUCGCGUUGAUUACGUCCCUGCCCUUUGUACACACCGCCCGUCGCUACUACCGAUUGAACGGUUUAGUGAGGGCCUCGGAUUGGUCUCGGCCCGCUCUUUACCGGGCGGCGCCGUUGGUCGAGAAGACGCUCGAACUUGAUCGUUUAGAGGAAGUAAAAGUCGUAACA
rnacentral:rRNA from 1 species